rnacentral:rRNA from 1 species
AGUACGGUCGCAAGAUUAAAACUCAAAGGAAUUGACGGGGACCCGCACAAGCGGUGGAGCGUGUUGUUUAAUUGGAUGGUAAGCCAAGAACCUUACCAAGGUUUGACAUUCUACGAAGGACUGCGAAAGCAGACUGUGCCUUUUGGAACGUAGUAACAGGUGCUGCAUGGCCGUCGUCAGCUCGUGUCGUGAGAUGUUGGGUUAAGUCCCGCAACGAGCGCAACCCUUGUGGCUAGUUGGAUUUUUCUAGUCAGACUGCCUCGGUAACGGGGAGGAAGGAGGGGAUGAUGUCAGGUCCUCAUUGCCCUUACACCUUGGGCUACAAACGCGCUACAAUGGCCGGUACAAAGGGCAGCUAAGUCGCGAGACGGAGCAAAUCCCAUCAAAGCCGGUCCCAGUUCGGAUAGCAGGCUGAAACUCGCCCGCUUGAAGUCGGAAUCGCUAGUAA